GGUAGCUCUUGAAAUCCCGGACGAGCCCCCAAAUGUUAGGGUCCGCGAUUUUCAAGAUACUGUUGAAAUGAGGAAGGGCGCGAUAAAGCCAAGCCCCAGGAAAC
rnacentral:miRNA from 1 species